AAACCCAUUCACAGACCCUUGUUUAUUGAGAAUUUCUCCUAGUUGUUCUUCUAAAAUGCUCAUGAAUUGAGUUUUUGGGUUAAGAGUUGAGUUUGAAGUAAUAGGAGCUGAAAGGGUGUCACUUGAUCCUAAACAUGUGUAUUCAGGUGUAAUCAAAGAUGACUUCAGUUCUGGAGGAGGUGAUGAUUCUAGAGUGGAAGAACUGACUUCUAGGGCUAAAGGUUCUUUAUAUUUUUCACUC
rnacentral:lncRNA from 1 species